rnacentral:rRNA from 1 species
UCGAGAAUAUUCGACAAUGGGCGAAAGCCUGAUCGAGCGACGCCGCGUGCAGGAAGAAGGCCUUCGGGUUGUAAACUGUGGUAGUAGCAUAACAAUGCAAAUGAGUGUGCUAUGGAAAGAGGUUGGUAACUACGUGCCAGCACCCGCGGUAAUACGUAGACCUCAAGCGUUAUCCGGAUUUAUUGGGCGUAAAGCGUGUGUAGGAGGCCCGGUGCGUCAUUGGUUAAAGCCCACCGCCCAACGGUGGAAGUGCCAACGAUACGGUCGGGCUAGAGGAAGUUAGAGGCUCGUGGAACGCACGGUGUAGGGGUGAAAUCCGUUGAUAUCGUGCGGAACACCAAAGGCGAAGGCAGCGAGCUGGGACUUUCCUGACUCUGAGACACGAAAGCGUGGGGAGCAA